rnacentral:rRNA from 1 species
GCUCCAAUAGCGUAUACAUAAGUUGUUGCAGUUAAAAAGCUCGUAGUUGAACUUCUGAUUAAGUAGAGACGUGGCGUUCUCGCCUGUCUUUUUAUUUAGUCAUCCGUCUGCAACCUUACUGCGGCCUUUACUGGUUCGGGUAAGUGAGUAGACAAUUUACCUUGAAAAAAUUAGAGUGUUUCAGGCAGGUUAACGCUGGA